rnacentral:rRNA from 1 species
CACCACGCCACUGACGCUCAUGCACGAAAGCGUGGGUAUCGAACAGGAUUAGAUACCCUGGUAGUCCACGCGGUAAACGAUGAUAACUAGUUAUUCGCCCCGACUGGGGGGUGAGUGACCGAGCGAAAGCGUUAAGUUAUCCACCUGGGGAGUACGCCGGCAACGGUGAAACUCAAAGGAAUUGACGGGGGCCCGCACAAGCGGAGGAACAUGUGGUUUAAUUCGAUGAUACGCGAGGAACCUUACCCGGGCUCAAACGCAUCGCGCUACACCCUGAAAGGGGUGGUUCUUCGGACGCGAUGCGAGGUGCUGCAUGGUUGUCGUCAGCUCGUGCCGUGAGGUGUCGGCUUAAGUGCCAUAACGAGUGCAACCCCCAUCUUCAGUUGCCCCCGGGUGAUGCCGGGCACUCUGGAGAGACUGCCGGCGCAAGCUGUGAGGAAGGCGGGGAUGACGUCAAAUCAGCACGGCCCUUACGUCCGGGGCGACACACGUGUUACAAUGGCGGGGCUACAGAGGGGAGCCAGGCGGCGACGCCGAGCUGAUCCCGAAACCCGUCUCAGUUCGGAUCGGAGUCUGCAACCCGACUCCGUGAAGCUGGAUU